AUAAAAAACCAACUAAAUUAGACACUAACAUAUCUUUUAUCAGACUCUGGGAUGAUGGAUAUUAUUAAAAUUCUAUCGAUAAAAAAUUAAAAU
rnacentral:sRNA from 1 species